AGGAGGCAGGCGGAGCGGCUUCAGCUACGAUUUCCAAACUUGCCCGAGGUCGUCGUCAAAACCGCGGCGUUUCAGCAGUCGGGAAACGCCCCGUGAAGCCACGGGAGCCCUGGCACAGGCGUGAGGAGCCACCAGCCCGGCGCGUCCUUGCUCCGCAGCCCCCGCAGCUCCCGUCCGAGGCGGUCGGGGAGAAAGGGCUCCCUGCGGGGACACCCCCAGGGUCCGACCCCCGAAAACGCGGGAGCUCCAGCCCCGCUCCAGCCCCGCCCCAGAGACAGCAACAUAAAGAGUUAAUGAGAAAGUGAAACUCGAAAAUUAACUGUCCCGACGCGCCCUGCCUCGAUCUUUCCGGACCUUAAGACACAGCACGGGUUGGUGGCGUGAGGUGCUGCGCUCCCGCGGACCAGGCUCACCGAGGACCCUGCGCGGUUCUCGCUCGCGGCCAGGCUGCCAUGGGUUGGGAUGGAAUCGGCAUUGCACUCUUCCUUGGAAUGGUCGUUGGAAUGGCACUCGUAGCCGUGGCAGGUGGUAUGCCGGUGUCCAUCGGUGCAGUGGGGAUUACCAAGAGCGUGGCUUUUGCCUUCGCUUUCACAGUCGGGUGAAAACAAAAGGCCUGACUCUGCCCUGCAAGCAGCAGCCGAUGCCAUGCUCUCCAAAGGAAGAACUCUAGGUUACCAACCCAAAGCCAAGCAGUUUUUCUUCUUUCCAAGCAGUCUAUCUUCCCAUGUCAGGCUCUGGAAAGCCCCCGCAGACCCCCAGCUGCGUCUUUAAAAGAUUUGGAUUUCCUUGAGCAAUAAAUUCCUUGAAAGUUUUAAUAAAAGUGUGUUGCACACGUGUGUGUGUGGUGGUGCUUGGUGUGCGUUGUGGCUGAAGUG
rnacentral:lncRNA from 13 species